GGAGUUGUGGCUCAGUGGUAGAGCACUUGCUUAGCAGGUGUGAGGCACUGGGUUCAAUUCUCAACACCG
rfam:Ictidomys tridecemlineatus contig035578, whole genome shotgun sequence.